rnacentral:rRNA from 1 species
UAACACGUGGGGAACCUGCCCCAUAGUCUGGGAUACCACUUGGAAACAGGUGCUAAUACCGGAUAAGAAAGCGGAUCGCAUGAUCAGCUUUUAAAAGGCGGCGUAAGCUGUCGCUAUGGGAUGGCCCCGCGGUGCAUUAGCUAGUUGGUAAGGUAAAGGCUUACCAGGGCGAUGAUGCAUAGCCGAGUUGAGAGACUGAUCGGCCACAUUGGGACUGAGACACGGCCCAAACUCCUACGGGAGGCAGCAGUU